UUUGCUUGAAGUUUACAUUUUUUACAUUUUUCCUAUUUUCAUUUUCAUUUUUAUUAGUUUUGGGUCUUUUAAAAAUUUAAAUUGUAAUGUAAUCAGCCUAAUAUUACAUUUUACUUGUUGACAAUUUAGUUAAAAUGUAGUAGUAUGUUUUUCGUGAAAAACUGGUAAAACUCUUCAAGAAAAAUCUAAAGGACAUAAAAGCUAUUGAAAACUUAAGAGCCCUAUACUUUUUGGACCAGAUCCGUAUACAGGGUGAAUCAUUAUGAGCGAAUAAAACUCCAUUAAAAGUACCGAAAAAUGCGUUUUUCUUAACGAAGUCCAUUUUCCUCGAUUUUUUUCGUUAAACGUCACCAUAAGGAAAUGAUCCAAUAUGGCCGCCAACAGCAGUGGAAAUCACCCGGAAGCGUAUUUACCAAAGCGUAUUAUUUACCAACCCCAUCCUGACUCAGCGCACCCAGGCCGCCGAUCGGAGCCGAAUUCAUUCGCUCCAUACCCCAUCCCGUUUCAGCGCGCAUCUCCGAAACCCAUCCCGACUCAGCACACCGCCGCACCUGUUUAUGAAGAUGUCGCUUUGCGCGGGAAAAACACUAACUUAAUAUUAUUGUUUUGGUUCAUUAUUUGCUUGAAGCAACACGUGGCGCUGUAUUUAUUGCUGUUCGUCAUUUAUUUAUUAAUAUUUUAUAUCUUGAAAAUGAAAGAAAUUUUGGGGUUUGAUAGUGGUUGCGUGGUUGUAAAACUGGAGAACGUAGGUGGAUCGAGAGAGAAAUUUACGGCCAAUUUAAGGACCAUUUUUAAAGACAAUUUCUCCACUAUGGCCGAUGAAUGGAUAGCCCAGUUCUCAGAAACAAGUCAUUCCAACUGGGUUGUUUGGAAAUUCUUCAUCCGAGUCGCAUCUUAUACAAAAAAAUAUUUAAAUGUUAACAUAAUGCCGUUAAUAAAGCAAAAAAUGUAAAGAAGUGUCGAAAAAGAAAUCUUGAGUGUUCUGCAUCAGUAACUUUUAUUGUUAAAAAAAUUACCAAAGACACUAUUAAAAAUGACUGCUACCUUAAG